UACGAGGGGAGCUAGCGUUAUUCGGAAUUACUGGGCGUAAAGCGCACGUAGGCGGCUUUGUAAGUAAGGGGUGAAAGCCCAGAGCUCAACUCUGGAAUAGCCUUUUAGACUGCAUCGCUUGAAUCCAGGAGAGGUGAGUGGAAUUCCGAGUGUAGAGGUGAAAUUCGUAGAUAUUCGGAAGAACACCAGUGGCGAAGGCGGCUCACUGGCUCAUUUCUGACGCUCAGGCGCGACAGCGUGGGGAUCAAACAGG
rnacentral:rRNA from 1 species